UAUGAUAUCUUUCCAAAACAUGAUUAUAUCCUGAUAUGUCUAUAUCAAGAGCUUUUAUAAGCUCCAGUAUAUAGGUUUCUAGCUGGUCAUGAAUGAUAGUUUCAGGGAUAUCUUAAAGUCUUAAAUUAUUCCUUCUUGUUCGAUCUUUUAGCUCAGCAAUCUUUUUAUCCAUAUUGCAAAUUUUAUCAUCUUGUUUUUUAAUUAGAUUCUCUUG